rnacentral:rRNA from 1 species
UACGUAGGGGCAAGCGUUGUCCGGAUUUAUUGGGCGUAAAGAGCGUGUAGGCGGCCAGACAGGUCCGUUGUGAAACUCGAGGCUCAACCUCGAGACGCCGAUGGAAACCGUCUGGCUAGAGUCCGGAAGAGGAGAGUGGAAUUCCCGGUGUAGCGGUGAAAUGCGUAGAUAUCAGGAGGAACACCUGUGGCGAAAGCGGCUCACUGGACCAUUACUGACGCUGAGGCGCGAAAGCUAGGGAGCAAACAGG